rnacentral:rRNA from 1 species
AUGAACGCUGGCGGCGUGCCUAAUACAUGCAAGUCGCGCUAACAGACGAGGAGCUUGCUCCUCUGACGUUAGCGGCGGACGGGUGAGUAACACGUGGAUAACCUACCUAUAAGCCUGGGAUAACUUCGGGAAACCGGAGCUAAUACCGGAUAAUAUAUUGAACCGCAUGGUUCAAUAGUGAAAGACGGUUUUGCUGUCACUUAUAGAUGGAUCCGCGCCGCAUUAGCUAGUUGGUAAGGUAACGGCUUACCAAGGCAACGAUGCGUAGCCGACCUGAGAGGGUGAUCGGCCACACUGGAACUGAGACACGGUCCAGACUCCUACGGGAGGCAGAAGUAGGGAAUCUUCCGCAAUGGGCGAAAGCCUGACGGAGCAACGCCGCGUGAGUGAUGAAGGUCUUCGGAUCGUAAAACUCUGUUAUUAGGGAAGAACAAAUGUGUAAGUAACUAUGCACGUCUUGACGGUACCUAAUCAGAAAGCCACGGCUAACUACGUG